CUGAUCUCAUGAAAUGGCGUAUUUCUGACAUGUUAUGUUAUCAAGACGCAUCCUCGCUUGUUAGCGUGUUUAUCAACGCCGUUUGGCCCCCAUUGACUUACAUUACCUUGCGAUAGUUUGUGAAUUUACGCCGUAGCGAGUAGUAUGAAAGGAGGAAAAUGGCUGGUCAGGGAGGUGGAUGGGUAAAACAGAGGACUUUCAUCCAGGAGACCGGGGAUCGUGUCCAUUGUAUCAUGUUUCCUAAACCCAACCAGGUCUUAAUUUCCUAAACUGAACUGUCGCUUUCUUCUCGUGAUAACACGGCAAGUAGCGUGUAUGUUUACGCCCGCUGUAUACAGCAUAGACAUACACGGGGGAAACUCAAAAUGCGAACAAAUAACACGCCACUCGGCUUCAGAAAAUCGGCGUGUAUGUUUACGCAAAGUCAUGAUGCCAAGUUGGAAA